rnacentral:rRNA from 1 species
AACGAACGCUGGCGGCAGGCUUAACACAUGCAAGUCGAGCGCCCCGCCAGGGGCGCGGCAGACGGGUGAGUAACGCGUGGGAACGUACCUUUUGGUUCGGAACAACUCCGGGAAACUGGAGCUAAUACCGGAUAAGCCCUAACGGGGAAAGAUUUAUCGCCGAAAGAUCGGCCCGCGUCUGAUUAGCUAGUUGGUGAGGUAACGGCUCACCAAGGCGACGAUCAGUAGCUGGUCUGAGAGGAUGAUCAGCCACACUGGGACUGGGACACGGCCCAGACUCCUACGGGAGGCAGCAGUGGGGAAUAUUGGACAAUGGGCGCAAGCCUGAUCCAGCCAUGCCGCGUGAGUGAUGAAGGCCUUAGGGUUGUAAAGCUCUUUUGUCCGGGAAGAUAAUGACUGUACCGGAAGAAUAAGCCCCGGCUAACUUCGUG